UACGUAGGGUGCAAGCGUUGUCCGGAAUUAUUGGGCGUAAAGAGCUCGUAGGCGGUCUGUCGCGUCGGCUGUGAAAUCCCGAGGCUCAACCUCGGGUCUGCAGUCGAUACGGGCAAACUAGAGUAUUGCAGGGGAGACUGGAAUUCCUGGUGUAGCGGUGAAAUGCGCAGAUAUCAGGAGGAACACCGGUGGCGAAGGCGGGUCUCUGGGCAAUAACUGACGCUGAGGAGCGAAAGCGUGGGGGAGCGAACCGG
rnacentral:rRNA from 1 species